AAUAUGUGAUGGAUAAACUAAAUGCUCAGAUACAGAUCACCACAACAUCUAUCUAUACCUAUACAUUAUUUCCCAUGAAGUCUUGCCACGUAGCGGUCCCUCCUUUAUCCUUACCUUCUUCUCUCUGCUCACUUUUUGAUGUUUUGUCUUCUCACCCCAUUUCUACACGAUGUUUCGUCUUCCCAUCCGCUUACCUCUCAAUUAAUGGGGUCAAAUAGUUCAAUUUCAUAUAAACAAAUUGCUUUCAUAAGAAAAAAUAAGUAAAAUAAGAUUUCUUCGUACUCUUUUUUCUAAUUUUUUUGGUGCAUAAGAAAAUUUCAAAUUUUGUAAAUUUGGAGCGCAACAUCGCAGGGAAAAGCGAAGAUAAAUUUAGAGUCAGUGAGAGAAAAUAAGUAGUAGGUUUGGAGAGAUCUGUAGGGGAUCAACGUCGCUGUGACGAAAAAGGAGCUCGACGUUGAUAAUAGCGGCAAAAGUGAUGUGGAGAUGGGGAUUCAUCUCCCCGAUGUCGGUAGUGCGAUUAAGAUGCUAUGAAGUAAUAAUUUUAUUGCUGCUUCUUUCAUUAUUAUUUUUUAUAAUUUAUUUAUUGAAAUUAUAAUUUUUGUUUUAUUUGUACGUAUAUAUGUUUCAUCUCUUUUAUUUGUAUAUAUGUUAAUAUAAUUAUCUUUAUUUAUUAAUGUCUUAUGGCAAUUCAAAAAAAUUUAAAAUUUUUACUUUGUGAAUCUUUUGUCUUCUAUAGUAUUAGCCCACCGCAAUGCGCGGGUAACUUCACUAGUUUUAAUUGAAAAUGAAAAAAUUGCUGCUAGCUAAAGAGUUAGACACUAAUCUUUAG
rnacentral:lncRNA from 1 species